AGACGUGGCCGAAAUGGGUCAAAGUGUAGUAUCUGUUCUUAUCAGCUUAAUAUCUGAUUCAGGUUGCAUUUGGACCCAAGGUAUUAAACUUACUUCUGCAAGUUGGCAGGGUGCUUGAAGCCUGCUUCACGUUCGCAGCGGAUUGGCCCGGUAUUGCACCACCUUCAGGAUCGGACCAUCGUUU